CUCACCGCCUCGAAGUAUCCCGGAACCCCGGUGCCAGCAGGGUCCUUGGUGGGUCACCUAAUCCACCCCCCUGCCAGCAAGCAGGGCCCGGCUUCCAACCACCGAGUCCAGGGGCAGCUCAGUCCCGUGAGGCCCUGGAACGAAGGACUUUCCAAAAGCCCUCCUGACUUACCUUCUUCAGAAUGAAAUCAAUCUUGCUUCUGGAAGGUCUUUCACGCCCCUGGCCCGAGGACUCCAAAAGACCACCCCACCAACUCUUUGAAUGACUCUUUGAAAAGCCCAAAAGCCCCAACACGAGUCUUUAUUAGCCCUCGGCCGCUUUCUUCCACCAAGAAAAUCACGGGCCUUGUCCUCUGCCUAAAGAUCAUUUAAAUGCAAAUCGCCCCGCAUUUGGCGGUAACCUUGGCACAGCCAACUCCCACUCCCAGGCAGAUCCACAGACAGGUUCCUUUGAACACCCGCAGCUCCCUCCUUCUGAGGUGGGUUUAGUUAUAUAUUUACCAAAAAAAAAAAAAAAAAAAAAAGUCCAAAGCCAAUCGGAGACAAAGUUUUGAAUAAGAAGUGACACCAGAUUGAGAGAAGAAUUCCCCAACUCUGGUGCAGCAUGCGAGGAGAAAGGGAGGAUGAGAAGUACUCCUGGGUACAGGAAGACCUCCAGCUCAGAACUCAAAAGCCCUGGUCCCCUGGUUCUGUUCUCGUCCCGAGCAGCCGUGCGACUUUGAACAUUCGCUUCUCUGACACCAUUUUCCUAAAAGGCCAGCACCUGCUCCAGCCCUCCCUGACAUGGGAAUGCCUCGGGCUGGGCCUGCGAAGAAAGUCCAAGUGCUGGUGCCAAGUGCUUGGCAACCCGUCAGUAUCCCCGGAACGACCGUGCGCCCUCCUGAGGCUAUGGCUUCGAGAGGAACAUUCAUCUAUCAGCAGUUGGCCUCACCUGACCGACACAGGACUUCGAUAGGAUCCUUCCCAGUCGAGAGGCCGGGGAAAACACUGGACCACAGUGGACUGACGAUGCAUGUCAGGAGGCUGUAUGCUCUUCAAGCAAAGACCCUGCCAUUUGGGCUCCUUGUGCCCACAGGACUCGCCCCGGGACUGAACAUUCAACAUGCAUUUAGGAUAUGAAGCAGAAUGAGACGAGAGAGCCCAGUGCUGGCUGUAUUUUUCCCUGGGCAGCACAGCAAGCUGCCAAUGGCUCCAGAGGCCACCAGAAGCUUCUUAUUUGUUUGUUUGUUUGUUUUUGUUUUGUUUUUCCUUGCAGGCUUUGUGUUUCUCUCGUGCUGUUAAUAAAGUUUCCAUGUCGUGAAAA